UAAGUAGGUAGUGAAAUCUGGUGGCUCAACCAUUCAGACUGUUACCUAAACUGAGACGCUCGAGAGCGUUAGGGGUAGCUGGAAUUUCUAAUGUAGGAGUAAAAUCCGUAGAUAUUAGAAAGAACACCGAUAGCGUAGGCAGGCUACUGGGACGUUUCUGACACUAAGGCACGAAAGCGUAGGGAGCAAACGGGAUUAGAUACCCCGGUAGUCUACGCUGUAAACGAUGGAUACUA
rnacentral:rRNA from 1 species